CACGCAGAAGCUUUACUUUCGCUUUCACUUUACUUUUGCUUUCACUUUAACAAAUCUUGCAGCCGCACACUCUUUGGGUCCGCCCGUUUCUCUAAUCAAGUUGUAACACUCGCUGCUGUGGUCCACAGCUUCAUUCCUUGAAGCCCGUGAGACACGAACGCUUCCAUUGAGAAAAACCUUCCAUCAGAAGAAGACUUCUCGUCUCAGUGGGACUGCUGAGUUGAAUGGUGCUUUUUUUUCUGAAGCUUUGGUAGUGUAACUGUAAGAGUCCUGGAAUUGGAAAAGCAAAUCCAGAAGUUGAGUUCCAUGACUUUUUUGCUGUUUGCCUUUGGCUGAAUCCAAGAAGAGAAGCCCUUGAAGAGUGUAUUCUAUUCUAGACAAGCAUUCACACAUUGGCUUCUUUGGUGCCAGAUUAAAGAAUGAAGAAAGGAUCAAAUUGAGACAUCCAGGGGGGAAGAGUUCCCUGGCAAAACUCCAAUCUGCCUGAGCACUGAGGUGGAGCCACAGAAGUCCGGGUCAUUUGCACCUGGGAGGAGCCUGGCCCCUCCUCUUCCUGUGUGGAAUCUGGGAUUUAAUCUGUGAGGAGGGAAGGCCAAGGGCAGGAAGCACAGGCUCUCACUUCACUAAGAGUCUCUGUUUCCCCUUUUUUUCCUUUAUGCCUAAUUAAUAAAUCCCAUUUUUCUCACUCUUCAAAUAGUCUUCAAGCCUAAAUUUUCAUGACCAUGGAACAAGGACCCCAUCUUUAGCUGAACUAAGGAAAAGUCCUGCAACAAAAUUCUUUGCUAAAAAUACAUGAGGUUGCCUUUUCCUUCUUAAUCUUAAAAGAAAUAUAUUUCAAUGGUUAACGUUUUAGUAAUUCAAAAAUUAUCAAGCAUUUGUUCACAACCAUAAGAUGUGCAUUGUUUUAUAUUCCUACUUAAUAAUAGACUAUAAUUGUCUAAUUAGACUGCCGAUGUUGAUCUUUGUGGCUCAUUGCAUUGAUUAUAAGCAGUGUUUUGGGUUUGUGUGUGUGUGUCAAAUUUAGGGUUUUUUUGGUAUGGCUGCUGGUUGGUGUAGCCUGUAUCCAGUAUCCUGUAUUAAUUCUAAUAUUUGCAUUUUGAACAUAUUUACAAGUUGCUAAAAUAGCAAAGCUUCGAGAUGAGCCUGGCUGAUAUGGCAAAACCCCGUCUCUACUAAAAAUACAAAAAUUAGCCUGGUGUGGUGGUGCAUGCCUGUAAUCCCAGCUACUUGGAAGUCUGAGGCAGGAGAAUCUCUUGAACCCAGAAGGUGGAGGUUGCAGUGGGC
rnacentral:lncRNA from 1 species